rnacentral:rRNA from 1 species
GAUGAACGCUAGCGGCAGGCUUAACACAUGCAAGUCGAGGGGUAACAUUGGUGCUUGCACCAGAUGACGACCGGCGCACGGGUGCGUAACGCGUAUAGAACUUACCUUUUACAGGGGGAUAGCCUUUAGAAAUGAAGAUUAAUAUCCCAUAGUAUUGAGAACUGGCAUCGGUUUUUAAUUAAAGAUUUAUCGGUAAAAGAUGGCUAUGCGUCCUAUUAGCUAGAUGGUAAGGUAAUGGCUUACCAUGGCAACGAUAGGUAGGGGCCCUGAGAGGGGGAUCCCCCACACUGGUACUGAGACACGGACCAGACUCCUACGGGAGGCAGCAGUGAGGAAUAUUGGGCAAUGGAGGGAACUCUGACCCAGCCAUGCCGCGUGCAGGAAGACUGCCCUAUGGGUUGUAAACUGCUUUUAUACAGGAAGAAACACUCGUACGUGUACGAGCUUGACGGUACUGUAAGAAUAAGGACCGGCUAACUCCGUGCCAGCAGCCGCGGUAAUACGGAGGGUCCGAGCGUUAUCCGGAAUCAUUGGGUUUAAAGGGUCCGCAGGCGGUCAAUUAAGUCAGAGGUGAAAUCCCAUAGCUUAACUAUGGAACUGCCUUUGAUACUGGUUGACUUGAGUUAUAUGGAAGUAGAUAGAAUGUGUAGUGUAGCGGUGAAAUGCAUAGAUAUUACACAGAAUACCGAUUGCGAAGGCAGUCUACUACGUAUAUACU